UUGAAUUGAAGAGUUUGAUCAUGGCUCAGAUUGAACGCUGGCGGCAGGCUUAACACAUG
rnacentral:rRNA from 1 species